rnacentral:rRNA from 1 species
UAGGGAAUAUUAGUAAUGGGCGAAAGCCUGAACUAGCAACGCCGCGUGCGCGAAGAAGGCCUUCGGGUUGUAAAGCACUUUUUGAGAGGAUGAGGAAGGACGGUACUCUCAGAAUAAGUCUCGGCUAACUACGUGCCAGCAGCCGCGGUAACACGUAGGAGGCGAACGUUAUCCGGAUUUACUGGGCGUAAAGCGCGUGUAGGUGGUUUGGUAAGUAGGGCGUGAAAGCUCCUGGCUCAACUGGGAGAGGCCGUUCUAAACUGCCGAACUAGAGGAUGGUAGAUGGAGGUGGAAUUCCGGGCGUAGCGGUGGAAUGCGCAGAUAUCCGGAGGGACACCAGUGGCGAAAGCGGCCUCCUGGACCACUCCUGACACUCAGACGCGAAAGCUAGGGUAGCAAACGG